AUGCGCGCUGGGGCGGCCGCGGCCCGCUCCUGAUCACGGAUGGGGAGGACGGCAAUGGGGCAGCGCCGAGUUCCUUAAAUUAUACAUUCGGUGUAGCUGAUUUGGUGGACAGUGCAUUUGGAGAAAGCCUUGCUGAGUAUUUCAUGGACACCAUCUACUGAGAGUAUCUGGACUAUCCCUGACUCCCAGUGCAUUGCUACAACCUAUGAAUGUCCAUGAGAAGAAGGCAACAAACAUUCUAGAUGGCAGAGUCACCUCAACAACUGGGUUGUUCUGAGAGCAAUGAUUACAGAUUGGAUGCAUUCUCUGUGACUGGACUUUGAAAGUAAACCUUUGGCUAUAUUGAUGGGCAUGUUCAAUCAAUAAAAUAAUGAGA